UCUAAAUCUGUGUUAGUAAGCAUUUUUUCUUUGUCAAGAAAAUCCCUCCCACCUUACAGGUGUGGCAUAUCAAGAUGCUGAUAAAACAGCGUGAUUAUUGCACAGGUGUGCCUUAGGCUGCCCACAGUAAAAGGCAAAUGUGCAGUUUUAUCACACGUGGCAUGCUGACUGCAGAAAAGUCCAUCAGAGUUUUUGCCCGUGAAUUGAAUGUUCUUUUCUCUACCAUAAGACGCCUCCAAAGCCGUAUCAGAGAAUUUGGCAGUACAUCCAACCGGCCUCCCAACCGCAGACCAUGUGUAACCACACCAGCCCAGGACCUCCACAUCCAGCAGCUGUAACUCAAAGGCAAACCAAGGCCGACAUAGAAGGGAUUGUCGCGCAUCAUUUGAACUUUGACCCUCACACAUCUGCUCACGGUUGACUGCUGACCAGAUGUCCGCUGGGCUCAAACGCUGCAGGACAUUCAGGAUAGAGACUGAGAAAGCUCCAUCCAUCCAUCCUGUGGAUUGAUUCAGUUGGGAUAAAAGAGGAGGACUAAGAAGAAGAAAAAGAAGAAGAGGAGGAGGACCAACCGGGUGGCUGUCAGAUGGAGCACCGAGGCUCCUGGAGGAGCUCAGGGCGCACGGCGGACCCGCAGUGACCGCUUGUGGAUG